AGAGUUUGAUCAUGGCUCAGGAUGAACGCUAGCGGCAGGCUUAAUACAUGCAAGUCGAACGGGAUUCGGAGUAGCAAUACUUUGAUGAGAGUGGCGCACGGGUGCGUAACGCGUAUGCAACCUACCUUUAACUGGGGGAUAGCCCCGAGAAAUCGGGAUUAAUACCCCAUAACAUUACGAAUUGGCAUCAAUUUGUGAUUAAAGCUCCGGCGGUUAGAGAUGGGCAUGCGUGACAUUAGCUGGUUGGUGAGGUAACGGCUCACCAAGGCAACGAUGUCUAGGGGUCCUGAGAGGGUUAUCCCCCACACUGGUACUGAGACACGGACCAGACUCCUACGGGAGGCAGCAGUAAGGAAUAUUGGUCAAUGGGCGCAAGCCUGAACCAGCCAUGCCGCGUGCAGGAAGACGGCCCUAUGGGUUGUAAACUGCUUUUAUCAGGGAAUAAACCCUCGCUCGAGAGCGGGGCUGAAGGUACCUGAGGAAUAAGCAUCGGCUAACUCCGUGCCAGCAGCCGCGGUAAUACGGAGGAUGCAAGCGUUAUCCGGAUUCAUUGGGUUUAAAGGGUGCGCAGGCGGAUUGGUAAGUCAGGGGUGAAAUCCCACAGCUCAACUGUGGAACUGCCUUUGAUACUGUCAGUCUAGAGUAUAGUUGAAGUUGGCGGAAUGUGUCAUGUAGCGGUGAAAUGCUUAGAUAUGACACAGAACACCGAUCGCGAAGGCAGCUAGCUAAGCUAUAACUGACGCUCAUGCACGAAAGCGUGGGGAUCAAACAGGAUUAGAUACCCUGGUAGUCCACGCUGUAAACGAUGAUUACUCGAUGUUGGCGAUACACAGUCAGCGUCUGAGCGAAAGCAAUAAGUAAUCCACCUGGGGAGUACGAUCGCAAGAUUGAAACUCAAAGGAAUUGACGG
rnacentral:rRNA from 1 species